AGCCACGAAAUUGAGGUACGCAGAAGAUGAACUAACCUGAGAACUGAUGAACCAAAGAAGAGUCGGAGGUCGAGCAUCACAUAGCUGUCAGCUAUGGUGGCUUGUAGGCGGAUGUGUCUCACACCUAAGUUUUUGCCGCUGGACCGUGGUUACAUUCAUCCUAGCUUGGAGGCAACGGUGUGGGUGGGUAUGCAUGUGCAAGGCGAAGAAGUGGACGAAGGCCAAAGAAGCAAUCUCUGCCUCCCUAUCGCUGCGUCCUGCUCCUCAAUAUGUCACCUUAGUCAUGGCCGCCUUAUCCCUCAUGCUGCUGAUUUGAAUCUGCCCUACUCUUCUUCUCCUAGACUGCUCGAGCGCUUCAGCGGGUGCCUUGCCGACGACAGGGAAGGAAGGACCAGAGUAAGUAUAAUAUGGAAGUUCCUGUUCAAAUUAGUAGAAUAUGCUUACCAGGGGUUAGAAUUUAUAGAUAUAUACCAAUUUGUCACUACAGAUUAUAUAUAAUAUGAAAGUUCUUGUCAGUUUUCUUUGUAGUUAGUUUGCGACAAUCACAACAUGAUCAUUUGAAUAUUUUGUUGUAACAAAUCUAUUAUAGCUAUUGUUGUGAAAGAAAAAUCCUUAAAAAAUCACCCAAUAGCAACCCGAGGAAGUUAAGAGACAUAAAUGAUCCAGAUAUGGUUCCAUUAUGCUCCCUCUGUUCGAUAAUAUAUGACGUUUUCUGGCAGUACACAAUGCCAAAAACGUCUUAUAUUAUGGGAGAGAAGCGAGUUUGUGAUUCUUUUGGUUAUUCUUGAUUCCACAUGCUUCAUUUGGGUGAAUAAUCCAUUGGCAUCCAAAUUUGGAGAUUAAUUCACCUAUGUAAUGUGCAUAAUCAAUGACACAUUUUUGCUAUGAUGAAUAUGUAAAUAAAUUUUGUACAAUUCCAUAAAUACACAGUUAAGCAUUUUUGUUGUAAAGAUAAUGUAGAUAAUUUUUUAUAGCUUUGCAAAUAAGAUUAACCUUGGUGUAUAAAUCCGAUCAGAGUAGAGGUAGCUAUGCAAUGGUCUUGCGACACAUCAUUAGUCUAAGGCUCUAACCACAUUCAUGGAGAAUCUAACAUCCCAACUACGCAUAUCUGUUUGUUCCAGAAGCCACGAAAUUGAGGUACGCAGAAGAUGAACAAACCUGAGAACUGAUGAUCCAAAGAAGAGUCGGAGCUCGAGCAUCACAUAGCUGUCAGCUAUGGUGGCUUGUAGGCGGAUGUGUUUCACACCUAAGUUUUUGCCGCUGGACCAUGGUUACGUUCAUCCUAGCUUGGAGGCAACGGUGUGGGUGGGUAUGCAUGUGCAAGGCGAAGAAGUGGACGAAGGCCGAAGAAGCAAUCUCUGCCUCCCUAUCGCUGCGUCCUGCUCCUCAAUAUGUCACCUUAGUCAUGGCCGCCUUAUCCCUCAUGCUGCUGAUUUGAAUCUGCCCUACUCUUCUUCUCCUAGACUGCUCGAGCGCUUCAGCGGGUGCCUUGCGGACGACAGGGAAGGAAGGACCAGAGUAAGUAUAAUAUGGAAGUUCCUGUUCAAAUUAGUAGAAUAUGCUUACCAGGGGUUAGAAUUUAUAGAUAUAUACCACAAUUUUCACUACAGAUUAAAUAUAAUAUGAAAGUUCUUGUCAGUUUUCUUUGUAGUUAGUUUGCGACAAUCAAAACAUGAUCAUUUGAAUAUUUUGUUGUAACAAAUCUAUUAUAGCUAUUGUUGUGAAAGAAAAAUCCUUAAAAAAUCACCCAAUAGCAACCCGAGGAAGUUAAGAGACAUAAAUGAUCCAGAUAUGGUUCCAUUAUGCUCCCUCUGUUCGAUAAUAUAUGACGUUUUCUGGCAGUACACAAUGCCAAAAACGUCUUAUAUUAUGGGACAGAAGCGAGUUUGUGAUUUUUUUGGUUAUUCUUGAUUCCACAUGCUUCAUUUGGGUGAAUAAUCCAUUGGCAUCCAAAUUUGGAGAUUAAUUCACCUAUGUAAUGUGCAUAAUCAAUGACACAUUUUUGCUAUGAUGAAUAUGUAAAUAAAUUUUGUACAAUUCCAUAAAUACACAGUUAAGCAUUUUUGUUGUAAAGAUAAUGUAGAUAAUUUUUUAUAGCUUUGCAAAUAAGAUUAACCUUGGUGUAUAAAUCCGAUCAGAGUAGAGGUAGCUAUGCAAUGGUCUUGCGUCACAUCAUUAGUCUAAAGCUCUAACCACAUUCAUGGAGAAUCUAACAUCCCAACUACGCAUAUCUGUUUGUUCCAGAAGCCACGAAAUUGAGGUACGCAGAAGAUGAACAAACCUGAGAACUGAUGAUCCAAAGAAGAGUCGGAGCUCGAGCAUCACAUAGCUGUCAGCUAUGGUGGCUUGUAGGCGGAUGUGUCUCACACCUAAGUUUUUGCCGCUGGACCGUGGUUACGUUCAUCCUAGCUUGGAGGCAACGGUGUGGGUGGGUAUGCAUGUGCAAGGCGAAGAAGUGGACGACGGCCGAAGAAGCAAUCUCUGCCUCCCUAUCGCUGCGUCCUGCUCCUCAAUAUGUCACCUUAGUCAUGGCCGCCUUAUCCCUCAUGCUGCUGAUUUGAAUCUGCCCUACUCUUCUUCUCCUAGACUGCUCGAGCGCUUCAGCGGGUGCCUUGCCGACGACAGGGAAGGAAGGACCAGAGUAAGUACAAUAUGGAAGUUCCUGUUCAAAUUAGUAGAAUAUGCUUACUAGGUGUUAGAAUUUAUAGAUAUAUACCACAAUUUUCACUACAGAUUAAAUAUAAUAUGAAAGUUCUUGUUAGUUUUCUUUGUAGUUAGUUUGCGACAAUCACAACAUGACCAUUUGAAUAUUUUGUUGUAACAAAUCUAUUAUAGCUAUUGUUGUGAAAGAAAAAUCCUUAAAAAAUCACCCAAUAGCAACCCGAGGAAGUUAAGAGACAUAAAUGAUCCAGAUAUGGUUCCAUUAUGCUCCCUCUGUUCGAUAAUAUAUGACGUUUUCUGGCAGUACACAAUGCCAAAAACGUCUUAUAUUAUGGGACAGAAGCGAGUUUGUGAUUAUUUUCGGUUAUUCUUGAUUCCACAUGCUUCAUUUGGGUGAAUAAUCCAUUGGCAUCCAAAUUUGGAGAUUAAUUCACCUAUGUAAUGUGCAUAAUCAAUGACACAUUUUUGCUAUGAUGAAUAUGUAAAUAAAUUUUGUACAAUUCCAUAAAUACAUAGUUAAGAAUUUUUGUUGUAAAGAUAAUGUAGAUAAUUUUUUAUAGCUUUGCAAAUAAGAUUAACCUUGGUGUAUAAAUCCGAUCAGAGUAGAGGUAGCUAUGCAAUGGUCUUGCGUCACAUCAUUAGUCUAAGGCUCUAACCACAUUCAUGGAGAAUCUAACAUCUCAACUACGCAUAUCUGUUUGUUGCAGAAGCCACGAAAUUGAGGUACGCAGAAGAUGAACAAACCUGAGAACUGAUGAUCCAAAGAAGAGUCGGAGCUCGAGCAUCACAUAGCUGUCAGCUACGGUGGAUUGUAGGCGGAUGUGUCUCAGACCUAUGUUUUUGCCGCUGGACCGUGGUUACGUUCAUCCUAGCUUGGAGGCAACGGUGUGGGUGGGUAUGCAUGUGCAAGGCGAAGAAGUGGACGAAGGCUGAAGAAGCAAUCUCUGCCUCCCUAUCGCUGCGUCCUGCUCCUCAAUAUGUCACCUUAGUCAUGGCCGCCUUAUCCCUCAUGCUGCUGAUUUGAAUCUGCCCUAAUCUUCUUCUCCUAGACUGCUCGAGCGCUUCAGCGGGUGCCUUGCCGACGACAGGGAAGGAAGGACCAGAGUAAGUAUAAUAUGGAAGUUCCUGUUCAAAUUAGUAGAAUAUGCUUACCAGGUGUUAGAAUUUAUAGAUAUAUACCACAAUUUUCACUACAGAUUAAAUAUAAUAUGAAAGUUCUUGUCAGUUUUCUUUGUAGUUAGUUUGCGACAAUCACAACAUGAUCAUUUGAAUAUUUUGUUGUAACAAAUCUAUUAUAGCUAUUGUUGUGAAAGAAAAAUCCUUAAAAAAUCACCCAAUAGCAACCCAAGGAAGUUAAGAGACAUAAAUGAUCAGAAUAUGGUUCCAUUAUGCUCCCUCUGUUCGAUAAUAUAUGACGUUUUCUGGCAGUACACAAUGCCAAAAACGUCUUAUAUUAUGGGACAGAAGCGAGUUUGUGAUUUUUUUGGUUAUUCUUGAUUCCACAUGCUUCAUUUGGGUGAAUAAUCCAUUGGCAUCCAAAUUUGGAGAUUAAUUCACCUAUGUAAUGUGCAUAAUCAAUGACACAUUUUUGCUAUGAUGAAUAUGUAAAUAAAUUUUGUACAAUUCCAUAAAUACACAGUUAAGCAUUUUUGUUGUAAAGAUAAUGUAGAUAAUUUUUUAUAGCUUUGCAAAUAAGAUUAACCUUGGUGUAUAAAUCCGAUCAGAGUAGAGGUAGCUAUGCAAUGGUCUUGCGUCACAUCAUUAGUCCAAGGCUCUAAGCACAUUCAUGGAGAAUCUAACAUCCCAACUACGCAUAUCUGUUUGUUCCAGAAGCCACGAAAUUGAGGUACGCAGAAGAUGAACAAACCUGAGAACUGAUGAUCCAAAGAAGAGUCGGAGCUCGAGCAUCACAUAGCUGUCAGCUAUGGUGGCUUGUAGGCGGAUGUGUCUCACACCUAAGUUUUUGCCGCUGGACCGUGGUUACGUUCAUCCUAGCUUGGAGGCAACGGUGUGGGUGGGUAUGCAUGUGCAAGGCGAAGAAGUGGACGAAGGCCGAAGAAGCAAUCUCUGCCUCCCUAUCGCUGCGUCCUGCUCCUCAAUAUGUCACCUUAGUCAUGGCCGCCUUAUCCCUCAUGCUGCUGAUUUGAAUCUGCC
rnacentral:lncRNA from 1 species